UACGUAGGGCGCAAGCGUUAUCCGGAAUUAUUGGGCGUAAAGAGCUCGUAGGCGGUUUGUCGCGUCUGCCGUGAAAGUCCGGGGCUCAACUCCGGAUCUGCGGUGGGUACGGGCAGACUAGAGUGAUGUAGGGGAGACUGGAAUUCCUGGUGUAGCGGUGAAAAUGCGCAGAUAUCAGGAGGAACACCGAUGGCGAAGGCAGGUCUCUGGGCAAUUAACUGACGCUGGAAGAAGCGAAAGCAUGGGGAGCGAACAGG
rnacentral:rRNA from 1 species